UACGAAGGGGGCUAGCGUUGCUCGGAAUCACUGGGCGUAAAGGGCGCGUAGGCGGCGUUUUAAGUCGGGGGUGAAAGCCUGUGGCUCAACCACAGAAUGGCCUUUGAUACUGGGACGCUUGAGUAUGGUAGAGGUUGGUGGAACUGCGAGUGUAGAGGUGAAAUUCGUAGAUAUUCGCAAGAACACCGGUGGCGAAGGCGGCCAACUGGACCAUCACUGACGCUGAGGCGCGAAAGCGUGGGGAGCAAACAGG
rnacentral:rRNA from 1 species